rnacentral:rRNA from 1 species
UACGGGGGGAGCAAGCGUUGUUCGGAUUUACUGGGCGUAAAGGGCGCGUAGGCGGCCAGCACAAGUCAGUUGUGAAAUCUCCGAGCUUAACUCGGAACGGUCAACUGAUACUGUGCGGCUAGAGUGCAGAAGGGGCAACUGGAAUUCUUGGUGUGAGCGGUGAAAUGCGUAGAUAUCAAGAGGAACACCUGCGGCGAAGGCGGGUUGCUGGGCUGACACUGACGCUGAGGCGCGAAAGCUAGGGGAGCGAACGGG